UGGGGAAUUUUGGACAAUGGGCGCAAGCCUGAUCCAGCCAUGCCGCGUGAGUGAAGAAGGCCUUCGGGUUGUAAAGCUCUUUCGGACGGAAAGAAAUCGCGCAGGCUAAUACCCUGCGCGGAUGACGGUACCGUCAUAAGAAGCACCGGCUAACUACGUGCCAGCAGCCGCGGUAAUACGUAGGGUGCGAGCGUUAAUCGGAAUUACUGGGCGUAAAGCGUGCGCAGGCGGUUGAUUAAGACAGGCGUGAAAUCCCCGGGCUUAACCUGGGAACUGCGCUUGUGACUGGUCAGCUAGAGUACGGCAGAGGGGGGUGGAAUUCCACGUGUAGCAGUGAAAUGCGUAGAGAUGUGGAGGAACACCGAUGGCGAAGGCAGCCCCCUGGGCCGAUACUGACGCU
rnacentral:rRNA from 1 species